rnacentral:lncRNA from 1 species
UUGUAUGUUUCUAGUAUGUGAAAUUGAAGUAGUAUGUUUUAAAAUUAAUGAAAUUUUUAAUUUUAGUGUUUUAUUGUUAAUUUCUAAUUUAAAAUAAAAAAUUAAAAAAAUUGGGAGGGAGUGAUAGAAUUCCAUCACUAGUGAUUCCACCCCUCCUACAUUUCUAUCACUAGUGAUGGAAAUUGGAUUGAUGACAUGGCAUUAAUUGAUUGGAUAGUGGGAGUGAUGGAAUUCCAUCACUAGUGAACCACCCCUAGUCCCCUUAUCGUUUUUUAAUAUCUUAAAUUGUCACUAAAGUAUUUCCUUUGAUAUUGGUUGAUUACAUUUAUGUUACUCUGUCACGUGUUUUUAAUUAACUAUAUAGUGUUCCCCUUUGAAAAGUAAAACAAAGUUAAAACUCAAAACCCCAUCAUCUAUCAUAACUUGUCUUGUGGGACCGAUAAGUGUUUACAUUUAAAAAGGUAACGACCAAAAAGAAAAAGAAAACAAAAAUUAGGUUUUUGUCAAAUAAUAAGACUUUUGGUUCAUACUUUUCAAUUCCGGUAAGACUUUUGGGCCAUACUCGACCGAUGCAAAGAAUAAACACGUAAACCACAGUUAUCCUGAUAUGUCGUUUGAUGGUUGGUCUUCUAAUUAAAGCCUGUAACAUGGAUUGAUAAAGUGACAGAAUCCGUGCAUCAAAUACGCGUAGUCAGUUACGUUAUUGUAAUGGAUUAGACACAUCAUAUAUAUAUACAUGUGUAUUUACACUCAUCAGUUGUUAAAAGUAAAAAAAAAAAAAUCAACUAUGUGAACUUAAAUGCAUCAUUGUGUUACAGAUUAGACACGCUUUUAUAUAUCUUUGCGUAAAAACUCGCUACUAGGGCUGUAAACGAACCGAACGUUCAUCGAACAGUUCGUGAACCGUUUGGCGGGAAGUUCGUUUAUGUUCGUUCGUUUAAUAAACGAACGAACAUGAACAAGAAAUUUCGUUCGAUUAAUUAAAUGAACAGAGGUCUCGUUCGUUCGAUUGUAUUCGUGAACGUUCGGUAAUGUGUUCGUGAACGUGUUCGUGAGCAUUCGUUCAUUUGCGUUCUUUUAUGUUGGUAUGUAAUAUGUUUGUGUUUUAAUUAAAAAAAAUUGUACUUUCAUAUAUUUUAUCUAUACCUUUUAUACUAUUAAACUUUUAUUUAUUUUAUUACCUUAACAAUUAAACUGGGAACCCCUCUUUCACCUUGUUUAUGCACAAUUUCCCUUUCCUUUCUCAUUAUUUACAUCGACGAAUACGAUCAACCUCCGUUCCACAUUAGGGAUUUAAGUUCCAAUGCUACUCUCUGGGCCAUCUACCUUUAUCCUUCGACGCGUUCGCCAAAUUUAUUUGUGUUCGUGAACCAUUCGCGAACACGCUCAUUACCUUAAUGAACGAACACGAACAUAAAAUCUCGUUUGGUAAGUGUUCAUGAACCGUUCGUGAACACAUUUAUUUCCUUAAUGAACGAACACGAACAAGGCCUUGUUCAUGUUCGUUCGGUUCGUUUAUAACCCUACUCGCUACAACAACGAAUCAAAUAUGUGAAGUUAGGUGUGCUGGUAUGUACAUGUGUGUCAAAACUCAUUAACGCAUCUUGAAUCCUUUUAUUCAGAAUAUUCUAGUAUUAAUAUUUUCUUCAUAAUCAUAUUAGACUCUAGUUAUAUAUGAAAAAACCACACAAAAAAAUGUUUUUGUUCGACCCAAGUCCCAACCCAUACCAAAGAAUUACCCCUUUGACCCCAUUUUGCCACCUCUAUGCAGGAUUAGAAGAAUCUUUUGAAACAUAAUAAGUGGCUGAAUAAAUACUAGAUACUUCACCUGAUUUCGUUCAAGAUUUGUAGAGACCCGUUCCAGAGCCUGAGCACUUUCCUUAAUAAGCUGUCCGGCUGGACUGACAAGAACUGCAGGUAGUAAAGAAACAGUUAAUUUAUCGGUAAAAAUAAAUGUAAAUAUGCAUAGAUAUAUAUGAGGCUGACACAUGGCUAGUGUUGAAUAAAAAAAAAUAAAGUUAAAGAAAGAACAAACCGUUGUACUGUAUAGCCAACAUGCAACGCCUCGACCCGGCCCGUCGCCUACUCGCAAAAAUUCGAGCAACCUAGCAUCGACCAGACAUGUCUAGACCCGACCCGUUAACGAUCCGAAACGUCUCGACCCGACCCAUUAACGGCCUGGGCUGUUAACGACUCAAAACGUCUGGACCCCGUUAAAGGCCGAAAUGUCUCGAUUCGGCUUGAAACGUACCGAAUUGACCUAACCCAUUAACGUCUCGACCCGAUCAUGACCGAGGUUAUGGAUCAAAAGGACCAUAGCUGCUGCCUCGCCAUAUUAUCGAAAUAAUCAAUAGAAGCUAAUCGAAUUCACAGAAGAUCGAAGAUCGAUUGGCAGUGUUGGUGUGGUGAAAGCUCGAAAUCGGAAACAGUUUUGAGGAGAGUACGGUAAUCUGCUUCUAGAGUAAGGAGUGAGAAGAAGACAAU